rnacentral:rRNA from 1 species
UACGUAGGGCGCAAGCGUUGUCCGGAAUUAUUGGGCGUAAAGAGCUCGUAGGUGGUUUGUUACGUCUGCUGUGAAAACCUAGGGCUUAACCCUGGGCCUGCAGUGGAUACGGGCAGACUAGAGGUAGGUAGGGGAGAGUGGAAUUCCCGGUGUAGCGGUGAAAUGCGCAGAUAUCGGGAGGAACACCGGUGGCGAAGGCGGUUCUCUGGGCCUUACCUGACACUGAGGAGCGAAAGCGUGGGGAGCAAACAGG